rnacentral:rRNA from 1 species
GACAGAGGGUGCAAACGUUGUUCGGAAUUACUGGGCGUAAAGCGCGUGUAGGCUGUCAUGCAAGUCGGGUGUGAAAGCCCAGGGCUCAACCCUGGAAGUGCACUCGAAACUGCAAGACUGGAGUCUCGGAGAGGAAAGCGGAAUUCUGGGUGUAGAGGUGAAAUUCGUAGAUAUCCAGAGGAACACCGGUGGCGAAGGCGGCUUUCUGGACGAGUUACUGACGCUGAGACGCGAAAGCGUGGGGAGCAAACAGG